UUGAUCCUGCCAGUAUGAUACGCUUCUGUUAAUGAUUUAGCCAUGCAUGUAUAAGUAUCGUGAUUAUAGUGCAAAACUGCGAAUGGCUCAUUAUAACAGUUGUAAUUUGAUUGAUUUGAUUUAUAUUUGGAUAUCCUUGGUACAUCCAGGGCUAAUACAUGCCUGAACGGAUUUUAUCCGUGCUUUGAGAACUAUACAAACACGAGUUUGUGAAUGUGUCUCACCAAGUAAAUCAUUUUGAUAAAUCAAAAAGCUUCUGACCCAUCAGCUUUGAUGGUAGUGUAGUGGACUACCAUGGCUUCUACGGGGGACGAGGAAUUAGGGUUCGAUUUGGGAGAGGGAGCUUGAGAAAUGGCUACCACAUAUAAGGGAGGCAGCAGGCGCGAAAAUUACCCAAUC
rnacentral:rRNA from 1 species